CAGUCGCCGCGGGAAAACGAAGGGGGCUAGCGUUGCUCGGAAUGACUGGGCGCAAAGGGCGCGUAGGCGGUUUGGCAAGUCUCGUGUGAAAUCCAUGGGCUCAACCCAUAGCCUGCACGAGAAACUACCGGGCUUGAGUAUUGGAGAGGUGAGUGGAAUUUCCGGUGUAGCGGUGAAAUGCGUAGAUAUCGGAAGGAACACCUGUGGCGAAAGCGGCUCACUGGACAAUAACUGACGCUGAUGCACGAAAGCUAGGGGAGCAAACAGGAUUAGAUACCCGUGUAGUCCCUGUCUCUUAUAC
rnacentral:rRNA from 1 species